CCUGGCUCAGAGCGAACGUUAGCGGCGCGCCUAACACAUGCAAGUCGCACGAGAAAAGGGGGCAACCCCCGGUACAGUGGCGCACGGGUGAGUAACACGUGGAUUACCUUCCCUGGAGUGGUGGAUAACCUGCCGAAAGGUGGGCUAAUACAGCAUGAGACCACGCACUUUCGAGUGUGAGGUCAAAGCGGGCUUCUGUUUACAUGCUCGCGCUCUAGGAUGGGUCCGCGGCCCAUCAGCUAGUUGGUAGGGUAACGGCCUACCAAGGCAACGACGGGUAGGCUGGUCUGAGAGGAUGACCAGCCACACUGGAACUGAGACACGGUCCAGACUCCUACGGGAGGCAGCAGUGGGGAAUCUUGCGCAAUGGGCGAAAGCCUGACGCAGCGACGCCGCGUGGGUGACGAAGGCCUCGGUGUAAGCC
rnacentral:rRNA from 1 species